rnacentral:rRNA from 1 species
UCCAAGGAAGGCAGCAGGCGCGCAAAUUACCCACUCCCGGCACGGGGAGGUAGUGACGAAAAAUAACAAUACGGGACUCUUUUGAGGCCCCGUAAUUGGAAUGAGUACACUCUAAAUCCUUUAACGAGGAUCCANYGGAGGGCAAGUCUGGUGCCAGCAGCCGCGGUAAUUCCAGCUCCAAUAGCGUAUAUUAAANUUGUUGCGGUUAAAAAGCUNGUAGUUGGAUCUCAGUUCGAGGCUGGCGGUCCAUCGUUCGGUGGUUACUGCUAGGACUCAACAUCCUGCCGGUUUUCCCUUGGUGCUCUUCAUUGAGUGUCUCGGGUGCCCGGCACGUUUACUUUGAAAAAAUUAGAGUGCUCAAAGCAGGCGUCUCGCCUGAAUAAUGGUGCAUGGAAUAAUGAAAUAGGAUCUCGGUUCUAUUUUGUUGGUUUUCGGAACACGAGGUAAUGAUUAAAAGGGACAGACGGGGGCAUUCGUAUUGCGACGCUAGAGGUGAAAUUCUUGGACCGUCGCAAGACGAACUACUGCGAAAGCAUUUGCCAAGAAUGUUUUCAUUAAUCAAGAACGAAAGUUAGAGGUUCGAAGGCGAUCAGAUACCGCCCUAGUUCUAACCAUAAACGAUGCCAACCAGCAAUCCGCCUGAGUUCCUCAAAUGACUCGGCGGGCAGCUUCCGGGAAACCAAAGUGUUUGGGUUCCGGGGGAAGUAUGGUUGCAAAGCUGAAACUUAAAGGAAUUGACGGAAGGGCACCACCAGGAGUGGAGCCUGCGGCUUNAUUUGACUCAACACGGGAAAACUUACCCGGCCCGGACACCGGAAGGAUUGACAGAUUAAGAGCUCUUUCUUGAUUCGGUGGGUGGUGGUGCAUGGCCGUUCUUAGUUGGUGGAGCGAUUUGUCUG